UACAGAGGUCUCAAGCGUUGUUCGGAUUCAUUGGGCGUAAAGGGUGCGUAGGCGGCGCGGUAAGUCGGGUGUGAAAUCUCGGAGCUUAACUCCGAAACUGCAUUCGAUACUGCCGUGCUUGAGGACUGGAGAGGAGACUGGAAUUUACGGUGUAGCGGUGAAAUGCGUAGAUAUCGUAAGGAAGACCAGUGGCGAAGGCGGGUCUCUGGGCA
rnacentral:rRNA from 1 species